CACGGACUCUGCAGUCCAUGGAAUUCUCCAGGCCAGAAUACUGGAAUGGGUAGCCAUUCCCUUCUCCAGGGGAUCUUCCCAACCCAGGGAUCGAACCCAGGUCUCCCGCAUUGCAGGUUGACUGAGAAAGCAUUAAGACUCAACAAAGUCUUGAUUAUACCAAGGAUCUUACAUUUUAUUCUCUAUGUGGUGAGGAGCUGCCCAUGGCUUUGGAAGAAGAGUGUCAUACGGGAGGAUGGUGUCAUAAUUUCAUUUGUCAUUGAGGAAGUAAUGCAAAGACUGGCCUGAUUGAGAGAUCUUGGAGUUUAGGGAGAUCAACAAUAACGGAGUCGAAUGGCAAUGGCGUCCCAAAGAGUGUUGUUGCAGAUCGUGAAGCCCAGGUCAGGAAGGACACCCAGCUGGAAAGAAUAUACUGACUCUUUCUGUCUGUUUAGCACAGAAGUGGGCGGCGGUGUACAUCUGCCUCUCAUUUGCUCUCACUGAACAAACAGGGCUUUGAGCCCCUUUUAGCUCAUACACUCCACAUUUCACCAUCAUUCAUGAAUCGACGUAAGGUCAGUUCCAUUCUGCUUAUA